rnacentral:rRNA from 1 species
AUGAACGCUAGCGACAGGCUUAACACAUGCAAGUCGAGGGGCAGCGGGGGAUAAGCUUGCUUUUCCUGCCGGCGACCGGCGCACGGGUGAGUAACACGUAUGCAACCUGCCCCUGUCAGAGGGAUAAUCCGGAGAAAUCCGGUCUAAUAUCGCAUAAAGCGUUUGCGGGGCAUCCUGCGAGCGCCAAAGGAGUAAUCCGGACAGGGAUGGGCAUGCGGCGCAUUAGCUAGUUGGGGGGGUAACGGCCCACCAAGGCGACGAUGCGUAGGGGUUCUGAGAGGAAGGUCCCCCACAUUGGUACUGAGACACGGACCAAACUCCUACGGGAGGCAGCAGUGAGGAAUAUUGGUCAAUGGGCGGAAGCCUGAACCAGCCAAGUCGCGUGAGGGAAGACGGCCCUAUGGGUUGUAAACCUCUUUUGCCGGGGAGCAAAAGCGCCGUGCGCGGUGCUAUGAGAGUACCCGGAGAAAAAGCAUCGGCUAACUCCGUGCCAGCAGCCGCGGUAAUACGGAGGAUGCGAGCGUUAUCCGGAUUUAUUGGGUUUAAAGGGUGCGUAGGCGGACAGUUAAGUCAGCGGUCAAAACGGGCGGCUCAACCGCCUGCCGCCGUUGAAACUGGCAGUCUAGAGUGGGCGAGAAGUACGCGGAAUGCGCGGUGUAGCGGUGAAAUGCAUAGAUAUUGCGCAGAACUCCGAUUGCGAAGGCAGCGUACCGGCGCCCGACUGACGCUGAGGCACGAAAGCGUGGGGAUCGAACAGGAUUAGAUACCCUGGUAGUCCACGCAGUAAACGAUGGACACUAUCUGUUCGGGUCGAAUGGGAUCUGAGUGGCACAGCGAAAGCGUUAAGUGUCCCACCUGGGGAGUACGCCGGCAACGGUGAAACUCAAAGGAAUUGACGGGGGCCCGCACAAGCGGAGGAACAUGUGGUUUAAUUCGAUGAUACGCGAGGAACCUUACCCGGGCUCAAACGCACGACGGCGGCACGUGAAAGCGUGCUUACCUACGGGACGUUGUGCGAGGUGCUGCAUGGUUGUCGUCAGCUCGUGUCGUGAGAUGUUGGGUUAAGUCCCGCAACGAGCGCAACCCCUAUCCUUAGUAGCCAGCAGUAAGAUGGGCACUCUAGGGAGACUGCCAGGGAUAACCUGGAGGAAGGUGGGGAUGACGUCAAAUCAUCAUGCCCCUUAUGACCUGGGCUACACACGUACUACAAUGGCGUUUAACAAAGAGAAGCAAGACCGCGAGGUGGAGCAAAACUCAGAAACAACGUCCCAGUUCGGACUGCAGGCUGCAACUCGCCUGCACGAAGUCGGAAUUGCUAGUAAUCGUGGAUCAGCAUGCCACGGUGAAUACGUUCCCGGGCCUUGUACACACCGCCCGUCAAGCCAUGGAAGCCGGGAGUGCCUGAAGUGCGUGACCGCAAGGAGCGCCCUAGGGUAAAACCGGUGACUGGGGCU